rnacentral:rRNA from 1 species
CACGAAACCACGGAGGUGCGCAAACUGCGGCGGCUUAAACAUGCAGUCGAGCGCCCCGCAGGGGAGCGGCAGACGGGUGAGUAACGCGUGGGAAUCUACCCUUUUCUACGGAAUAACGCAGGGAAACUUGUGCUAAUACCGUAUGAGCCCUUCGGGGGAAAGAUUUAUCGGGAAAGGAUGAGCCCGCGUUGGAUUAGCUAGUUGGUUGGGUAAAGGCCUACCAAGGCGACGAUCCAUAGCUGGUCUGAGAGGAUGAUCAGCCACAUUGGGACUGAGACACGGCCCAAACUCCUACGGGAGGCAGCAGUGGGGAAUAUUGGACAAUGGGCGCAAGCCUGAUCCAGCCAUGCCGCGUGAGUGAUGAAGGCCCUAGGGUUGUAAAGCUCUUUCACCGGUGAAGAUAAUGACGGUAACCGGAGAAGAAGCCCCGGCUAACUUCGUGCCAGCAGCCGCGGUAAUACGAAGGGGGCUAGCGUUGUUCGGAAUUACUGGGCGUAAAGCGCACGUAGGCGGAUUGUUAAGUGAGGGGUGAAAUCCCAGGGCUCAACCCUGGAACUGCCUUUCAUACUGGCAAUCUAGAGUCCAGAAGAGGUGAGUGGAAUUCCGAGUGUAGAGGUGAAAUUCGUAGAUAUUCGGAGGAACACCAGUGGCGAAGGCGGCUCACUGGUCUGGAACUGACGCUGAAGUGCGAAAGCGUGGGUAGCAAACAGGAUUAGAUACCCUGGUAGUCCACGCCGUAACGAUGAAUGUUAGCCGUCGGGCAGUUUACUGUUCGGUGGCGCAGCUAACGCAUUAAACAUUCCGCCUGGGG